AUUUGAGUUAAAUAACUAAACUUAAAACAAUUGAAACAAACCAAAAAAAAAAAAAAUAAGAGUUUAAAGCGGGACCACCCGCAACAUGUUGCUGCGUAUUGCGCGCAACAUGUUGCUAAUUAAGCAAAGCUUUUCUUUGCCAAGAUGAGCUGAUUUUUUUUUCUGUUUUGUUUGCUGCACGUUUUUGCUUCAGACAAACAACAAUAAUUGUCAUUGGACACACCUUUUACACAGUUUUAUUUGUUGUUUUUGCUUGUCGAGUGCUGCCAAGUUUGGUAAAGGGCAAAAGCAUAAGCAGAGCCAGAGACAAAAAGUGGCAAAAAGUGGCAACAGCACCAAAAGUCUGUUUGCUUAGCCGUUUAGUGCACGUUUUGUGCGACCACAAGAAAUUCUUUUGGAUGUCUUUCGGUCCGUCGGUCGGUCGGUCGGUCGGGAGUGCAUUGGCUGUCAUUUGAUUGUCGAGGUUUUGCAUUACAAUUAUUCGAGUGCUGCCUGCUGAAAUAGUCAAGGCAACAGCAACAACAACAACAACAACAACAACAACAACUGCAGCGGCAGCGGCAGCAACAACAAUGACACAGCAAGGUGUAAGCCAACACUUUUGACGACGCUGGCAAAUAUUUUAUGCAUGAAAUUUCAAGCUCAAAUCUCAGCUCAUGGCGUUGCCAUCAGCCAGCAGCGGCAGCAGCAGCAGCUGUUGGCCGGCGUUGCCAGCUCGAGUGCAGAAGGCUAAUUGCGCCGUUCGUUGUUUAGAUUUCUUCUUGUCGAUUUUGAACAGGAUGUUGCUCAUUAUUUAUGCAUUGCUGGCCAAUAAAGUACAUAUAUUCCCGCCUA